GACGAACGCUGGCGGCGUGCUUAACGCAUGCAAGUCGAACGGCAAGGCCCUUCGGGGUACACGAGUGGUGAACGGGUGAGUAACACGUGGGUGAUCUGCCCUGCACUUCGGGAUAAGCCUGGGAAACUGGGUCUAAUACCGGAUAGGACCCUGGGAUGCAUGUCCUGGGGUGGAAAGCUUUUGCGGUGUGGGAUGGGCCCGCGGCCUAUCAGCUUGUUGGUGGGGUGAUGGCCUACCAAGGCGACGACGGGUAGCCGGCCUGAGAGGGUGACCGGCCACACUGGGACUGAGAUACGGCCCAGACUCCUACGGGAGGCAGCAGUGGGGAAUAUUGCACAAUGGGCGCAAGCCUGAUGCAGCGACGCCGCGUGAGGGAUGACGGCCUUCGGGUUGUAAACCUCUUUCAGCACCGACGAAGCGCAAGUGACGGUAGGUGCAGAAGAAGGACCGGCCAACUACGUGCCAGCCGCCGCCGUAA
rnacentral:rRNA from 1 species